rnacentral:rRNA from 1 species
GACAGAGGAUGCAAGCGUUAUCCGGAAUGAUUGGGCGUAAAGCGUCUGUAGGUGGCUUUUUAAGUCCGCCGUCAAAUCCCAGGGCUCAACCCUGGACAGGCGGUGGAAACUACCAAGCUGGAGUACGGUAGGGGCAGAGGGAAUUUCCGGUGGAGCGGUGAAAUGCGUAGAUAUCAUGAGGAAUACCAGAGGCGAAGGCGGCUCCCUGGACAAUAGCUGACACUCAGGCACGAAAGCGUGGGGAGCAAAAGGG